rnacentral:lncRNA from 15 species
UGAGGUUAUGUUGUGUAAAGGACAGGCUCAGGAGGUGGAGGACGGCGGUGCUUCUUGUGCUUCUUUGAUUACUUGUUCAGCUAUGGAUGUGUGGGACAAGAAGGCGAACCAGAAUCUAAAAAAAGAGACCAGACCAAACGCAGACCGGCUGGAAAAGUUGUUGUAUAUCCACCAGCUACUGUACCGACUCAGAUUACAGAAAAUACAUCAGUACACAUCCAUCACAUUCAUACUCACAAUAAGCCUCGAUGCAUAACACAGCAGCCUCAAUAAUAAUACGUACAAUAGCUCUAUGAAAUAAUUUCAUCUCUUACAUAAUUGAGGAAAGAAAACCUUUUUUUUGACUCAUCUACUAAAUCACAACUCAACGUGGGACAGAAACGCUCUCUACAUCCGUAUCGCCUCUUCAGCAUCAGCAACACGACGUGUAAACAAAUCUUUACUCUGUGUGACAAUGUGUUGUAUUACUUUCUGAAAUAAAAUAAAAACAUUGGUACUGAAUUAAUGCCACCUUUGCUUGAUAAUGAACUGUUCUGUAUUAAACUAGUUUUACAAGGUGGAAACAGAAAACAACCUCAAUGUGUCUCAAGUAUUUCUGGGGUUUUAGUUAGAAUAUUUGGAAUAAUGCAGAAUAAUGCAACCUGCAAUGACAAACAAACUAUUAAUUGUUUGAAUUAAUAAAAUAAUAAAUUGUCCAAAGGUUACUCAGCUAUCAGGACUGUAGACGGGUUUUAGAAAUACUGAGGUCAUGAGUCCAGAUUCCUUCUGUCCAAACACACAAGCCUCCAUUUCAUAAUUUCUCUGUUCAAUUAUAAUUCCUGUAAAUUUCCCCUGUUGAGGCUCUAAAUUAGGAGUGUCCAAACUACGGUCCACGGGCUAUGUGCGUCCUGUCAACUUCAUUGACAUGGUCAGUUAUUUAAAAAGUGUGAAAUGGCAUUCGGCCUGCGCUGACUCUAGUUAAAAUGCACUUCCUACUGUGAACUCUAGCUGUCACCAUAUGGGUAAUAUCAGGCACAGGAAGCGUG